AUGCGCCUUUAAAAAGGUACGG
rnacentral:miRNA from 1 species